rnacentral:rRNA from 1 species
AUUGAACGCUGGCGGCAGGCCUAACACAUGCAAGUCGAACGGUAGCACAGAGAGCUUGCUCUCGGGUGACGAGUGGCGGACGGGUGAGUAACGUCUGGGAAACUGCCCGAUGGAGGGGGAUAACUACUGGAAACGGUAGCUAAUACCGCAUAACGUCGCAAGACCAAAGUGGGGGACCUUCGGGCCUCACACCAUCGGAUGUGCCCAGAUGGGAUUAGCUAGUAGGUGGGGUAAUGGCUCACCUAGGCGACGAUCCCUAGCUGGUCUGAGAGGAUGACCAGCCACAGUGGAACUGAGACACGGUCCAGACUCCGACGGGAGUCAGCAGUGGGGAAUAUUGCACAAUGGGCGCAAGCCUGAUGCAGCCAUGCCGCGUGUAUGAAGAAGGCCUUCGGGUUGUAAAGUACUUUCAGCGGGGAGGAAGGCGGUGAAGUUAAUAACUUCACCGAUUGACGUUACCCGCAGAAGAAGCACCGGCUAACCCCGUGCCAGCCGCCGCCGUAA